CGCUGGCGGCGUGCCUAAUACAUGCAAGUCGAACGGUCUUUCUAUGGAAGCUUGCUUCCACUGAGAAGAUAGUGGCGAACGGGUGAGUAACACGUGGGUAACCUGCCCAUAAGAGGGGGGAUAACAUCCGGAAACGGGUGCUAAUACCGCAUAGUUUUCUUGAUCGCAUGAUCGGGAAAGGAAAGACGGCCUUUGUGCUGUCGCUUAUGGAUGGACCCGCGGCGUAUUAGUUAGUUGGUGAGGUAACGGCUCACCAAGACGAUGAUACGUAGCCGACCUGAGAGGGUGAUCGGCCACAUUGGGACUGAGACACGGCCCAAACUCCUACGGGAGGCAGCAGUAGGGAAUCUUCCGCAAUGGACGAAAGUCUGACGGAGCAACGCCGCGUGAGUGAAGAAAGGGUUUUCGGAUCGUAAAACUCUGUUGUCAGAGAAGAACAAGUUGGAGAGUAACUGCUCCAGCCUUGACGGUAUCUGACCAGAAAGCCACGGCUAACUACGUGCCAGCCGCAGC
rnacentral:rRNA from 1 species